GUGCUCGCUUUGGCAGCACAUACACUAAAAUUGGAAUGAUACAGAGAUUAGCAUGGCCCCUGCACAAGGAUGACAUGCCAAUUUAUGAAACAGUCCAUAUUUUU
ensembl:snRNA U6 U6 spliceosomal RNA